rnacentral:rRNA from 1 species
AUCGAACGCUGGCGGCAGGCCUAACACAUGCAAGUCGAACGAGUGGCGGACGGGUGAGUGAUGUCUGGGAAACUGCCUGAUGGAGGGGGAUAACUACUGGAAACGGUAUCUAAUACCGCAUACCAUCAGAUGUGCCCAGCUGGGAUUAGCUAGUUGGUGGGGUAACGGCUCACCAAGGCGACGAUCCCUAGCUGGACUGAGAGGAGGACCAGGAACCCUGCAACUGAGACACGGUCAAGACUCCUAAGGGAGGCAGCAGUGGGGACUAUUGCACAAGGGGCGCAAGCCUGAUGCAGCCAUGCCGAGUGUAUGAAGAAGGCCUUAGGGUUGGAAAGUACUUUCAGCGGGGAGGCGUUACCCGCAGAAGAAGCCCCGGCUAACUACGUGCCAGCAGCCGCGGUAAUAC